GUUAUCAGGAUUCUGAAGGACUAAGGUCUUCAUGUGUAGUGCUAACAGUUAAAAAGAAGGAAAAGCAACCAAAUUGCCCCUAGUCUGCUCAAGAGCCUGUCACUGCUUCCUAAGUGGUCACGCUACAAAAUCAAAGAAGUAACAAGGUAUGGUUGGUUACCCUUCCAAAAAUAACUGCAAGUAUUAAGUGCUGUCUUUAUGGAGAAGCCAGACCUCCUGCAGUAAGAGGGAAAAUUGAAUUGACUUGCAAGAGGCCAGAAUGCCACCCACAGAGGUGCUUGAUUGCCAGAAAAUGCUGAGUUCCUGCUGCUUGGAAUCACUGCUGUCCGAUAUCCGGCAUUGUACUGAAAGGUAAGACACUGAAAUCACAUGUGCAAACUGAAAAAGUCAGGUCCUCAGCUCAUGCAGAAUGAUGUCACUCUGAGAGCAAUUACACAGUGGUGAUGUGCCAACAGAACUGGUAAAAUGUUUUUGCAUGUACAAUAUAUAUGUUGUUUUCAUUGCAGCUAGUGCUGUACCUCUGAGGAAACACUGAUUGGGAAUAUAAAU
rnacentral:lncRNA from 1 species